UCCGGAUGCAAAUCUAUGACUUUCAUUCCCAUGGGCCGGCCUUAUCGUGAUGAGCCUCAUUUUUGUUGUUAGGGGCCAUUCACAAAGUAUGUGAGGCUCGUGGGGGUAAGGUGUUUGAUAAGCAGUCACAUACCGUAAACCUCCGACUAUAAGCCCCCCAAAUAUAACUAAGCACCCCGAAUAUAAGCCCACCACAUAUACUAAUACUUACCUCAUUCCAAAUAUAAGCCCCCCCCCCCGAAUAUAAGCCCACCCGAAUAUAAGCCCCCCAAAUAUAAGUUCCCCCGCGGAAUAUAAGCC